UACCAGCACCCCGAGUGGUCGGGACGUUUAUUGGGCGUAAAGAGCUCGUAGGCGGUUUGUCGCGUCUGCCGUGAAAGUCCGGGGCUCAACUCCGGAUCUGCGGUGGGUACGGGCAGACUAGAGUGAUGUAGGGGAGACUGGAAUUCCUGGUGUAGCGGUGAAAUGCGCAGAUAUCAGGAGGAACACCGAUGGCGAAGGCAGGUCUCUGGGCAUUAACUGACGCUGAGGAGCGAAAGCAUGGGGAGCGAACAGG
rnacentral:rRNA from 1 species